rnacentral:rRNA from 1 species
GACGAACGCUGGCGGCGUGCCUAAUACAUGCAAGUAGAACGCACAGGAUGCACCGUAGUUUACUACACCGUAUUCUGUGAGUUGCGAACGGGUGAGUAACGCGUAGGUAACCUGCCUGGUAGCGGGGGAUAACUAUUGGAAACGAUAGCUAAUACCGCAUAAGAACAUUUACUGCAUGGUAGAUGUUUAAAAGGUGCAAAUGCAUCACUACCAGAUGGACCUGCGUUGUAUUAGCUAGUAGGUGAGGUAACGGCUCACCUAGGCGACGAUACAUAACCGACCUGAGAGGGUGAUCGGCCACACUGGGACUGAGACACGGCCCAGACUCCUACGGGAGGCAGCAGUAGGGAAUCUUCGGCAAUGGGGGGAACCCUGACCGAGCAACGCCGCGUGAGUGAAGAAGGUUUUUCGGGAUUCGUAAAAGCUUCUG